AGACGAGGAAAUAAAAAGGGGCAAGUGCCCGGAACCUCGAAAGAAAAGAAAAAGUGAGACGAGAGGUAAAAAUGGACAAGUGUCCGACAGUAGAAUUAGGGGUACAAGAUACCCACCUGAGAGAAAAGGAAAAAAAAGAGCAUCUCAUUCUCUUGACAAAGUUACAAAAAAAAGCAAGAAAGGUAUGUAUCCCCUCAAAAGAGCAAAAGUAGAAUGAGACUUUCAUCAUUGUUAUCACCAUCAUCACCAUACAACAUUCAUUCGCCACACAUGCACAUCUUGAUUUGACUUAUUGAUUUGUUUCAUUGGAUCCAUGGUUUGACUAUGCAAUAAAUGUCUUGUAAGUAUGUAUAUUUUAUCUCCCACCUAUGAGCUCCAGAUAUUAAUGCCUUAUUAGAGUAGGGUGAGAGAAAAGGCAAUGUCACUAUGCCUUAUACCACAAAUACUACAUAUCUUGAGAGAAGGCAUAUACCAACACUGCCUUGGAAAGGUUCCAGAAAUACCACAAAAGAGAGAUCUAAGAGAGUCGUACAAGGAAUCUCUGAGUUUUAUUUGAAAAUCUGCAAAAACUCCAGAGCUAUAGCUGAUCAAGAAUAAGAGACAUGGCACUUGACUAGACUGUUCUAUCUUUUAACUACUCAAGAUAGAAGUGACGGUUACAAGUCCCAUGGUGAAAGGUAAAGUAAGUAAGUUUUAAGUCUUGACGGUUUACUCUAACUCAGAGAUGAGAUCUUAUUUAAAAGCAUGUGUACCGUCAAUUUUUAAAGGUAUUGCAACAACUUCUGAUCCAUUACUAAGUCUAUCCUUGCUCAGGGACGAGCAAGAGGUAAACUUGGGGGAGUUUGUUGAUGGUCCUUAAAUAUCAAAUUUAAUUAUCAAAUAAACAAAGAAAAGGAUCCAAAUGAAAACAACAUCAAGACUUAGGGUUUUAUCUAACAGAAUUCCAUGAGUUUUGGUGUUUGUCUAUUUCUGCAUGGGGUUAUCAGGAAAUACGGAAGAAAGGCCCACACGUCGGGAUUACAUAGAGAUAUUAAUGUGCCGCACAAUUAUCUUACAUCUAGAAGACUGCAGAAGCCACGGGAAGGAAGCGGAGGCCGAACGGGGCUAGGCACUGGGCGCCUGCCCCCUUGUAGAGUUGGAUUAGGACUCUCUUUCGGGAUCAAUCUCCACUGACCUAAAGGAUCAAGGAUAACCAUUCAAUCAAUGUCGGUUUGAUCCAACGGCCCAUAUUCACUUGAAGGGACUAUAAAACCAGACCCCCUGGCCCCUGGAGGAGAGAGCCUCUGAACCCUAAUUCAUUAUUCCUCAAGGGAGAAGAAGCCUCUGAUCAAGCCUAGAGCCACCACAUCAAUUAGACAUCUAGAUUAGCAUAGCUACAUAGGAUUAGAACUAGAAGGAGUCAAUCUUCGAUUGGUUUCCAGAUCUGUCAAGAGGAUUCUUGGUAAUUCUCUGAUUGUUCUUCUAAUUAUCUUUGUUCUUCAAUAUUAUGAAUAUGACUUUGUUCUACUUCAGUAUAUUGCUUAUGACUUUGCUCUACUUGUUUAUAUUCAAGAUUAUAUUGUUCUUAGUUUUAUAGUAUUUAUCCAUCGGAUCCAUGGGUAAAUGAUAGAUAUUGUGUAGGCGUGGUGCUUAUACCGUAUUUAUCUGCGAUUGUACCCAAUAUGCCGGAUCGUGGGGUAGUUCGUGAUAGUGACAGCUUCAUUGAUUCUUAUAUAGUCCCCCUCUCGUGUAUUGGGCUGGUAGAGCAACAUUAUUAUAGGGGAGUGAUUGCUAUGUUUCUCAUAUUCCUUGCUAAUAUCACUAUGCAUGGGCGUAGUCUUGUCUCACAAUGAUUGCUAAGUAUGCUUGCACUAACUAUGAUAAUGCUAGACUAUAUAGUUGAGAAUAACUUAGGAAAUAUUCUUAUAGUUCGUUCUCAUACCAUGCUAAUGACUUUCUAGAAUAUCUAAUUGAGGUGCUUAUCAUAUUUAUUAUGUAGCUAAGUUAUGCUGAUCAGGUUAAUUAUCUUUGUCACUAUUCAUUACUUCAUAUAUCUUUUAUGUGACACUUAUCCCUGUAUGAAAGAGUUAGAUAAAUGUUCUCAAUUAUACAUGGAAUGAUAGAUACUCAAUCCCAUAUUCCAUUUUAUAAUCAAUGUUGAUGGUUACUAAUCCCUUCCUAGUGGUAAAAAUAUAAGUAACGAUACCUGGAAUACUUCCCGGUUAAAAUGCUACAUCGGUAUUAAUCUGUGCGCUUGCAGAUCCCAUUCAUUAUUUAUUUAGAAGAGCAAUUGCAUAUUUCAAUACCGCGUCUCUCAUGUCAUGCUGGGGAUGACAACUUGGCUUAAGUGGUAUGAGGGAUAGUUUUGGCAUUUUUGGCACCGUUAUCAGAUUUUGAAAACUGUCUACUUUUGGUAGUGAUGUUAAGAAUACCCAACAACCCUCACCCCUUCAAAGGCUCGGGGGCUAUUGUUGGGUACCAUAAAAAGGGAUACCCAAAUCAGAAUAAAAGUCCCGACCCCUCGGCCUUGGGCCCAAGCCACGGCUCGCCCGACCCCUCUUGGCCUCAGGCGCAAGUUCCGCCUCGCCCGACCCCUCUAGGGCUCGGGCGCCAACGCCGCUUCGCCCGAGCCCCCAGAACAAGGCUUCCAGCACACGGCGCCCGUACCCACGAUGUGACGGACGCAGUGACUCCCAUAUCGUAGCAGGGCGUGGUGACGACUAUUCCAACCACCCCGGUCACUAUGGCCUUACCUCUUUCACUGUGUAACCUUACCUCUUUCACUGUGCUGUACCGCCUCACAGUGAAAGAGGAAUGGGAGAGGUUAACCAGUGUCACUAUUAGCUGUCUUUUCCCACUAUUACAGGACGGGCUGCAGUAUCAUCGAUCCGACAUAUCGGGUUUACAUAGAGAUAUUAACGUGCCGCGCAAUUUUCUAUCAUCUAGAAGACUCCAGAAGCCACGGGAACGAAGCGGAGGCCGAGAGGGCUCAGGCACAAGGCGCCCGCCCUAGUCCUGAGGGCGCCCACCCUGCUACAGUGCUCAAUGAGAGUCCAAUUCGGGGACAACGCUCCACCGACCUAAAGGAUCAAGGAAAACCAUGCGAUUAAUGUCGGUUUGAUCCAAUGGCCCAUAUUCACUUGAAGGGACUAUAAAACCAGACCCCCUGGCCCCUGGAGAUCAUACCUCUUCUACAGAAUCAAAGCUAGCGUUUCAAUUCUUCAUCCAAGUAGAGAGGAUCCCUCUAGUUCUUCUAGUUCUACCUCUUGUUCAUCUAGAUCUAGUUCUAGUUCAUCUAGUUCUAGUUCUAGUUCCUCUAGUUCUAGUUCUAGUUAGUUCUAGUUGUAAUCUAGAAAAUAGGAAGAGAGAAGAGGAGAGCGGAGGAGGAGCCGGAUCUGUCGGAUCUUCCUCAACAUUAUACUUUUGCAGCAACUGGUUCGUUCUUCAUCGUUCUCCAGGUUCUUCAAUUCACAAUUCCUGAGUUCUUUAAUUACUUUUAUUUACAUUCAAGUUAAUUAUUGGAUUCCCGCUUGCAUCAAGUGCUCCAAUCUUUGAAACAUUAGAGUAGUAAUUAAUAGAUUAGACGUGGUAUUUAGUCUUGCAAUUACCUAGAAUUGCACCCAAUCCUGCGGAUUGUAGUGGUAGCCUUAGGGUAGUGACAGCCCUAACGGUCGACGUAUUCCACCUCGUUCGGAUCGGUGUUUGUAGGACCGUAGUCAGACCUUCCUAGCCCCCUUCUCAUAUCUUUCUAUGGUUAGUGCUCUGAUGUCCCGAUAUAAAUAAUCUUUGAAGUAAUUCUUGAUUCUUAGAUCAAUUAGAAAACUCUCAGGAAACUUCCUCUCUUCCCACCAAAAAUAAUUAUAUAGUUAUCCUUGGGCGAUCUUGGAUCUUAAUUAGUACACUCAUGUUCUCUGUGGAGAAUCGAUACUCUGGAAUACUCUCGGGUGAAAGCUACAUCGGUAUCCGUGCGCUUGCGGAUUUUUUUGUUUGCGUUUAAAAUACCCAACAAGCUUUCUGGCGCCAUUGCCGGGGAAUGGUAGCUGUGCUAGUUUCGAACCAAGUCGUCCGUGUAUCCUUUUUCUUUUCCUUUUUUACUACACUCACCUUAUCAUUUUCACCAUACCACAUGGAUUUCACUCUAAGCAUUAAUGAGCAUAGAAUUUAUUUCAUAGCCACUUCAUUUACUCCAUGCUCAUAUGCAACAUCUUCACAAUCCAUUGGUCUCUCCAACAUCACCACAUUCGAGAUCUCCAACCCCCUCUUCCUUUCUAUUUAUAAAAACUUUAAAAGGGCAGUUGUCGAUGCAUAUGUCUAUAAUAAAUUUUGUAGAUCUCGUUGAGUUGAUCUUGAUAUAGGUCAGCGUUGGAGGGGAAACCACUUCGCCGACAUAAAUUGAUGGUUUCCGAAGGACAAGCUUAGUGUCCUAAAACAAGCACUGAUCAGAUUGUAACAUGAGCUUUUAAUUAUUUGCAACAUUACCUUGUGUGUUGAGCAUAUAAGGAUAAUUGUAAAAAUACUCCUUCGGGUAUUCUUGUCACUAACCUUUCCAAGAUUGGAGCAAGAAGAACGGAUGAAUGACAAGCACAAGGUAUGUCCAACCAAUCAACAUACAACAUUGAAUUAAACUCAUCCAAACUUGAAUUUUGCAAAAUUCAAGCUUGGGGGAGUACUUUACAUAAAAACAUCCUUUGCCAUGUUGCUAUGUUGGUUGUCCCUACCUUUGAGACAUGCUCAAUUUGUUAAAUACUAAUCACACUACUUCAUCUCGACUUGAGUAGAUCUCUAUAAAAGAUCUCAUACUAGCUUUAUUUGCUUUAGUAUAUGUCUAGGUUUGGAGUAGUUUCAUUUAUCUCUUAAUUAAGCAUGGUGCUUAGUUUAGGAAUGAUGAUCUUAUUUCCAAAGAAUUUUAAAUUAAGCAUGAUGCUUAGGUUAAAAUGCCCUCCUAAAUCAAAUUAGACAUGGUAUCUAGGUUGAUCUUUGAGCCGAUAGUAUGCUAUAGUAGAUAUUGGAUAUUUUGUUGGACUAACCCCUGCAGGAAAACUUUCAAUAUCAACCUGGGAGGUCCUGAGAUAAACUCACAUUGGAGACAAAGAGAGACGCAUGAAGUUUAAACAUUUACACAAGGAAGGCAUAGCUCACAAGAGAUGAUCCAUGGAGGGUGCUACAAAUAUGAUGCACAACCGCUAAGAAAGGAAAGCUUCCACAAGGUGAUAUUGUACCAUCACUCUUCAAGUAAGGUAAUAUCUUAAGGUACUUGACUAUCGCCUUUAUAAGCUUCUCCUUGGUUAUGGCGUUCACAUGAAUAAAAGAGACAAACAUGUAUGAUUUGCAACUCUAGAUUAACCAACCCAAUCGAUUCAACAUGUUUAGUCCUUCCACCUUUGUGAUCCCACACUCCUAGUCAUAUGAACUAAAAUGUUGCACAUUAAAUCUCUGGAAGAUAUAAACAAAACAUAAGUAUAGAUAGAUUUUCUUUCCAUUAGAUUGAGCGAUCUGAUCUAACAAAUGUUUUAAAUGCUACACUCAUGAUCUUAUUAUCCAUCAACUUUGUCUUGCUCACUAUGCUUAAGGUUAGAGAAGAACAAAUAUACUUUUGGUUCUGUUGGUGUUUUCCACCAACAAGGCCCAUGCACUUGAUCUCUGCCUUGUCACUAUGAGCAGGUACACUUCGAGCAAAAUAUGAAGGAGUUUUACAACUCCCAGACUCCACCAAGUGAAGAACCUAGAUCAACGAGUACACACACUAGAGAAACUGGACACUCAAGCAAUCACUGCCCUGAGAUGCUUGAGGACGUGAACUACAUCAACAAUAACAACAAUAACUACUACUACAACCGACCUCAACAAAAUCAAAGUUGGAAUCAACAGAGGCCUAACUACUUAGUCAAGAGAGGCAAUCCAGGACGCCUCGUCAUCGCGAUCUCCAUCGGCAUGGUGGACUUCCUAGAAGCACUCUGUGACUUUGGCUCCAGCGUCAACAUUAUGCUCAGGGUACUCUAUGAAAAAUUCUUUACACAUCCUUCCCUAGAAACAACCAUGUGUUUGUAGUUUGCAGAUCAGACACUAAGUUUCCCAAAGGGAAUAUUGAAGAACCUCUGCGUCCGAGUUGGUACCUUGUACGCCCUAGCAGACUUCGUGGUGAUAGAGACUGGUACUAAUGAGAGGGAACCCAUCAUCAUAGGGAGGCCAUUCCUGAACACCUCAGGAGCUGUCAUCCACGCUAGUGCUACCAAGAUCAGUUUCUACAUCAAAGGGAGGAAGGAGACGUUUUCCUUCAAGAACAAGACUACACAAAUCUCAGAGCAAUCCCGACAUGAACCAAGGAAGAGGACCAACAGGAGGAUCAUGAACAAGCAAAUGUGGACCGAGUCAGCUAAGAUGGUCACUGCAGUUCAUGGAGAUCAAGAUCGUUGACUCAAAUCACCGUUUCUGACCAAGAAGGACAAACCAACUCCAAGAUGGCAGGUUACUGACAUGGGAGAAGAUGAGUAUGAUCCACCCAUCACCCUUGGGAGAUCGUUCCUCAGCACCGUUAAAGCAAUCAUCUACAUUGGAACAGGAGAAGUCCACAUGCACUUCCCCUCUGAGAAGGUAAGCCGCUAUUUUACCGACCUUAACUAUAUAGUUGUAGACUCUAAGCAGGUUAGGACAAGAAGAAGACGAUGCAACCGCAACAAGAGAAGGCAAAUCAUCAAGGACGGAUGGGUGGACUACGAAGGAGAAGUGGUAAUGUCUGAAGACAGACAGCUUGAACAGAACUGUCCUGAGGAGACCGUAGCACCAAGUCAGGUGUGGAGAGAGAAGAUAAUUAUACAUGAAGAGGAGGCGCUGCCAAAAUCACCAACUACGCCAUCCAGUGAAUCCCAAGACGACUGAGAAUACGGAGAGUCCUGUUCGGAGGACUUAAACACACCGAACGCCUUGCCAAGAGUUCCACAAAGCUUUGUUGUCUAUUUGAGCUCCACAGAAUUCAAGGAUCAAAGAAGACUAGCAGACGGAGGACAUCCUAAUCACUGUCAGGGUGCUGCCGACAUUCAAAUACACCUUCGCCACUGCUAGCUACAUCAGAAGAAAUUGUGUCAAAAUCCAGCUUGGGAGAGAGCAACCCCAUUUACCCAGCUAAGUAUUCUACUUACGUUUAUACUUCAGUCUAAUAAUAAAAAUAUGCAUAAUCAUAAAAACCCAAAUAAAGAUUUUGUGCUUAUAUAUAUCUUUGCUUAGUUUGCUAAAUAAAUAAAUAAAUAAAGUUUGCUAUGAACCCUCAUGAUAAGCUCUGACAUGACAAUGAUGAAUAGUUGCUCUGCCAUGACUAGUUCUCAAAAUUGAAAUCUCUCUCAAGUUUAGGCAUGACUGUUAUUAAUUAAGAUUUGCUCUAAACCUAAACUUGUGGGAAGAGUAAUUGAUCUAAAGUCUAAGUCGUUAACGGAUAUGAUAUGGGAAGGUUGAGCUGCUGUUUAUCUGUUUCUAGAGAUGCUAGAAUUUUGGAGAAUUUUAUCUUUGAAAAUCUUUAAAAUAUCACAUGAUGAGUUCCUGUAUGAUGAGAGUUUAAAUUCCUACCACAUCCAUAUAUACAUGCUUGCUAGACUUUGAGCCACAUAUUUACUUUUUACUGCUUAUGAGCAUUGAGUGUGGUCAAGUUGUGUAGACCCUUAGGAGCUUGUCAUAUGGUUAAAAUCAAGAUUCACUUGCACGUUCACUCAUACAUGCUGCUUCUACUCUGGAAGUACACAUCCACAUACAUCCACUCAUUUCCAUCUCUAGAAGUACCCAAAAAUAUUCUACUCCUAAUUUGGGAGAGAAUAGCCAAAAACAUUUCUGUUUUCCUCUGUGAAAUAAAUGCUCAAGUUAUCUUGGUUACUACCACUUGCUAUAUUAUUUCAGGAGAUGAGUGCUCUAAUAAAAAAAAGAGAGAAAAAAAAGAUACGAGGAAAUAAAAAGGGGCAAGUGCCCGGAACCUCAAAAGAAAAGAAAAAAGUGAGACGAGAGGUAAAAAUGGACAAGUGUCCGACAAUCGAAUUAGGGUACAAGAUACCCACCUGAGAGAAAAGAAAAAGAAAAUAUAGAGCAUCUCAUUCUCUCCAAAAGUUUCAAAAGAGCAAAGAAGGUAUGUAUCCCCUCAAAAGAGCACAAGUAGAAUUAGACUUUCACUAUUGUUAUCACCAUCAUCACCAUACACCAUUCAUUCACCACACCACAUGCACAUCUUGAUUUGACUUAUUGACUUGUUCUUCUGGAUCCAUGGUUUGACUAUGCAAUAAAUGUCUUGUAAGUAUGUAUUAGCUGUCUCCCACCAAUGAGCUCUGUUGACGGUCCUUAAGUAUCAAAUUUAAUUAUCAAAUAAACAAAGAAAAAGAUCCAAAUGAAAUCAACAUCUAGACUUAGGGUUUUAUCUGACAGAAUUCCACGAGUUUUGGUGUUUGUCUAUUUCUGCAGGGGGUUAUCAGGAAAUAAGAAAGAAAGGCCCACAUGUCGGGAUUACAUAGAGAUAUCAACCCACCGCGCAAUUUUCUACCAUCUAGAAGACUCCAGAAGCCACGGGAAGGAAGCGGAGCCCGAAAGGGGCUAGGCCCAGGGCGCCCGCCCUAAGGACCUGGGCGCCCGCCCACCUCUGGACCCCGUUCCGGACUCUCUUCGCACACGACGUUCCACCGACCUAUUGGAUCCAGAAUAACAUAGUACCACCUCGCCUAUCGACCCAAAAACGCAUAGAAUGGGAGGACUAUAUAAGGAGACCCCCUCUGGCCCCUGGAGGAGACAAGAAAUUAUCAUAGAGAUUGAGGGGUGCCCUCGAAGGAAAACCUCUUCUCUAAAUAAUAUUUCUUUUUAGGCUUAGCAACCAAUGUAAAGUAGAAAUAGAUCUUCUAGUUUCUACUAGAUUGAGAGAGAUAGAGUGGAGGAGUGGAUCGGAGGAAGGCCGGCCUGUCGGUGUCUACUCCGAGUUGUACCUACGGGAUCAAGUCUCCUAACCCGAGGCUUCCUUCUAAGAUUCUUCAGUAAUUCGACUUCUAAUACUAGUAAGUUCUUGUUUUAUUGUUCUUUGGUUUAUGAGUUUACUUUAAUCCUCUUCCGAUUGAGUAUUAGAGUAAUCACUUGUUAGCGUAAACGUGGUGUUUAGGCUAGGGUACUCAUAGAUAUCCCCUGACUAGCUGGACCGUGGUAGUAGCGAGGAACGUGACAUUUCCGAGUUACCUUUGCAGAUCACAUCUCG
rnacentral:lncRNA from 1 species